rnacentral:rRNA from 1 species
AACGAACGCUGGCGGCAGGCUUAACACAUGCAAGUCGAACGCAUCCUUCGGGAUGAGUGGCAGACGGGUGAGUAACGCGUGGGAAUCUACCCAUCCCUACGGGAUAGCUCCGGGAAACUGGAAUUAAUACCGUAUACGUCCUUCGGGAGAAAGAUUUAUCGGGGAUGGAUGAGCCCGCGUUGGAUUAGCUAGUUGGUGGGGUAAAGGCCUACCAAGGCGACGAUCCAUAGCUGGUCUAAGAGGAUGAUCAGCCACAUUGGGACUGAGACACGGCCCAAACUCCUACGGGAGGCAGCAGUGGGGAAUAUUGGACAAUGGGCGCAAGCCUGCUCCAGCCAUGCCGCGUGAGUGAUGAAGGCCCUAGGGUUGUAAAGCUCUUUCAGUGGGGACGAUAAUGACGGUACCCACAGAAGAAGCCCCGGCUAACUUCGUGCCAGCCGCCGCUGUAAAAC